rnacentral:lncRNA from 1 species
CAGAGAGUAGCAGUAGCGUAAAAGGGGGAAUAGGCGUUGUCUUGCCCUCUUCACGACUGUCUUGGUGUGCUUGGACCAUGUUAGUUUGUUGGUGAUGUGGACACCAAGGAACUUGAAGCGCUCAACCUGCUCCACUGCAGCCCCGUCGAUGAGAAUGGGGGCGUGCUCUGUCCUCCUUUUCCUGUAGUCCACAAUCAUCUCCUUAGACUUGGCUACGUUGAGGGAUAGGUUGUUAUCCUGGCACCACACGGUCAGGUCUCUGACCUCCUCCCUAUAGGCUGUCUCGUCGUUGUCGGUGAUCAGGCCUACCACUGUUGUGUCAUCAGCAAACUUAAUGAUGGUGUUGGAGUCGUGUCUGACCAUGCGGUCGUGGGUGAACAGGGAGUACAGGAGGGGACCGAGCACGCACCCCUGAGGGGCCCCUGUGUUGAGGAUCAGAGUGGCGGAUGUGUUGUUACCUACCCUCACCACCUGGGGGCGGCCCAUCAGGAAGUCCAGGGUCCAGUUGCAGAGGGAGGUGUUUAGUCCCAGGAUCCUUAGCUUAGUGAUGAGCUUUGUGGGCACUAUGGAGUUGAACGCUGAUCUGUAGUCAAUGAACAACAUUCUCACAUAGGUGUUCCUUUUGUCCAGGUGGGAAAGGGCAUCGUGGGUAAAUGAUUUGCUGAUGUCAACGCUGUGAACAUGGUGGUGGUGGGGUUAUAGUAUGGGGCAGGCAUAAGCUACGGACAACGAACGAACACAAUUGCAUUUUAUCAUUGGCAAUUUGAAUGCACAGAGAUACCGUGACGAGAUCCUGAGGCCCAUUGUCGUUCCAUUCAUCCGCCACCAUCACCUCAUGUUUCAGCAUGAUAAUACACGGCCCCGUGUCGCAAGGAUCUGGACACUUCCUGGAAGCUGAAAAUGUCCCAGUUCUUCCAUGGCCUGCAUACUCACCAGACAUGUCAUCCAUUGAGCAUGUUUGGGAUGCUCUGGAUCGAUGUGUAUGACGUCGUGUUUUUAGGUUGUAUUUAUUUACAGAAAACAAGUGAUGGACAACAAUACAGAUAAACAAUUAUUAUAAUAAAUAACAGUGUGGUUGGAAGCACAAGGGCUUGUAUAUAACAUCAACUAAAAAACAAUGUACCAUACAUAAGUACAAAAAGGUAGAAGACCCAGCAGGUUAUUGAUAUAGAUUAGUAUGGUAGUAGACCCAGCAGUCAGGUUAUUGAUAUAGAUUAGUAUGGUAGUAGACCCAGCAGGUUAUUGAUAUAGAUUAGUAUGGUAGUAGACCCAGCAGGUUAUUGAUAUAGAUUAGUAUGGUAGUAGAC